ensembl:misc_RNA Y_RNA Y RNA
GACUGGUCCAAGUGCAGUGGUGUUUACGGAUAAUUGAUCACAAUUGGUUAUAGAUUUUUUCUUCCUCUGUGUUCCCACUGCCUUAAUUGGCCAGCCUUAA